AGUGAACGCUGGCGGUAGGCCUAACACAUGCAAGUCGAACGGCAGCACAGUAAGAGCUUGCUCUUACGGGUGGCGAGUGGCGGACGGGUGAGGAAUACAUCGGAAUCUACUUUUUCGUGGGGGGUAACGUAGGGAAACUUACGCUAAUACCGCAUACGACCUACGGGUGAAAGCAGGGGAUCUUCGGACCUUUCGCGAUUGAAUGAGCCGAUGUCGGAUUAGCUAGUUGGCGGGGUAAAGGCCCACCAAGGCGACGAUCCGUAGCUGGUCUGAGAGGAUGAUCAGCAACACUGGAACUGAGACACGGUCCAGACUCCUAGGGGAGGAAGCAGUGGGGAAUAUUGGAAAAUGGGCGCAAGCCUGAUCCAGCCAUACCGCGUGGGUGAAGAAGGCCUUCGGGUGGUAAAGCCCUUUUGUUGGGAAAGAAAAGCAGCAGGUUAAUACCCCGCUGUUCUGACGGUACCAAAAGAAUAAGCACCGGCUAACUUCGU
rnacentral:rRNA from 1 species